CCAAAUGGCCUUUCCAAAGCAGAGGCCGUGCGCCUCUGCUGUCUCAAAAAGAAAAGAAGAAAAAAAUGGAAAGGGGUCAUCUGACCGAGAGAAAAAGAAAUAGGAAGGAGAUGAUUUUUCAUACAAAAAUUAUGAUAUAUGAAGAUUCAACCGUCCAAACUCAAAUUCGACUUCGGUAACGUGAUCUACGAAGCCCGAUCUACGUUUCUACCGAUCGUUUUGAGGCUUUGUGUUAUUUGGAGCUUGCAAAGAUUCCCAAACAUCGGGUAUUAUUUGGGUAAAUUUUUAGUAAUGCAUUGCAUGGUGGUGUCUAGGAGACCUAGUGCUUAAUAUCCGCGCAGCCAGACAUUGAUGCUUUGGUUGCAGGUUUUGCGGAUAUAGAUAUUGACUCGUCCACCUAGCGUAUGGGAUACUAUGAUUGGAGCACAUCGCGACAGUCAUAAGUCACGGACUCAUGGGUAGUCCGCAUUUUGGGUAUUUUAUCUAUGGCUCGUGUCCUACGUGGCACAUGUAUUUGUUGAGCGUAUAUUUUAGAAUGUAAUUAGUGUAAUAUGUUAUAUAAGCCUUAAAUAGAUAGACUUGUAAAUGGCUCUGGUUGUAAUUAACUGUUGUAUAAUAGAUGUAUUUCCGCUUAUGAUAUGUGUUCUGCUACACAUUGAUUACUAUAUUCCGCUGUUAAAUGUAACUCUGAUUAUCAGAUGCAUGUUAUGGGACAUGUGCCAUAUGUUGGCUGAGCGACAUGUAGUCGUGCCACUGUGAAGAUCCGUUUAUAGAAACUGAUGAGGAUAUAUUAUGGAAGGCCGAUAUAAGGGAGACGAAGGAAGAGAUUUGGUUAUUUGGAUUUGUUUGGUUUUGGAUUAUGUGGUUAUUUACUUAUUUGGAUUUGUAAUUUUUUGGUUUUGGAUUUGGUUAUGUGGUUAUUUGUUUGUGUUUUGGAUUUGUAUUUUUUUUUUAAUAAAUACUUUGGAUUUGUAUUUA